CCUACGGGGCGCAGCAGUAGGGAAUUUUGCGCAAUGGGCGAAAGCCUGACGCAGCAACACCGCGUGAAUGUUAAGCCCUUCGGGGUGUAAAGUUCUGUCAAUAGGGACGAAUUUUGACUGUACCUAUAAAGGAAGCACCGGCUAACUCCGUGCCAGCAGCCGCGGUAAUACGGGGGGUGCAAGCGUUGUCCGGAAUCAUUGGGCGUAAAGCGUUCGUAGGCGGCAAGGUAAGUCUGAUGUUAAAGCCCGGGGCUCAACUCCGGUUCGGCAUUGGAUACUAUCUAGCUAGAAUGUGGUAGAGGUAA
rnacentral:rRNA from 1 species